AGAGACGCUCCUAGCCGCCGUAACGCUUACUUGGCGUGCCCCACAGCGUCAUCCAAACGCUCCUGGCACUCUGUUAGCCUUGCUGCUGUGAGCACUGCCUUGGGGAGCCUGUUCAGUGCACUCUCCGAGUGAAAAGCCUUUUCCUGAUACCCUGCCCUGCCCCAGGCGUUCCCUCAGGCCCUGUCCCCGGCCAUAGGGCAGAGAUCAGUGCGUGCCCUGCGCUGCCCCUCGGGAGCGCGCUGCAGCCCGCAGUGAGCUCGUCCUUCAGUCUCCUGCAGGCUGAGCUGGCCGAAUGCCCUCGGCCGCCCCUGCUGUGCCCGAGGGACGGCACCGGGCCAGGAGCGCUGGCACCUCCCGGGAGCGCGGCGGGGGCGGGCCGUGCACCGGGCAGCCCUCGGCUGGCCGUGAUUAACGCUCAUUAGCUGUUGUCCCUGGGCUCGAUACCGCCCGCCCCCACCGCCCGUGCCGCUUGUCGCCGGACUGACCCGUGAGCUCGAGUCCUGGGUCGCCCCCCGCGGGACACGGGAUGGAAAAUGUCAAAUCCACUCGCGGAGUUGUUUGUGCAGGGCUGGAGUGCCGUGCCUGAUGCUUCGGGAGCCCAAGAAGGUGUGAGAGGAGUGUCAAAAGCACGAGCGGAACCUCCUGCAUGAGGGAAAAGAGCGCAGGCAAUAUCAGCACUAACACCGCGGCAGCCGAAGUACCGAGGGAAACCUCGGAAUCACCACACCAUUUGCAGCUAACAAUUUCACCUGUAUAAACACGGCAUCCUAAACACAGACCUUCGUCACAGUAAAAUCACAGAAAGGGUCCUAAAUGAACUUGGAAUUAAUGUGACUGAUAUGCAGAAGUGUGGAAGGAAUUAAAAAGGGAUGUAAGGGUGCAAAAAAUGCUUGGAGGAAAACAUGAGAAAGAAAAAUACCACUAAAGAAAAAGCAAGCACCACCAACCAGCAAAUAAAGAAAGUACAAAUAACGGGAAAGAGCACAAUUAUGAAGGUAUAUUAAUUAGAAUAUUGAAAACAUAUUCAUAAAGAACUAGUAUCAUGCACAUUGUCAUGUAAAAGUUACAAAUGUAAAGGAAGAACUAGCUUAAGUAUAAAGAAAUCACGUUUUAAGAAAAAAUUAGUUUUCAUAUUAAAAAAUUUCAAUACUUUUUAAAA